CCUACGGGGCGCUGCAGUGAGGAAUAUUGGUCAAUGGGCGUAAGCCUGAACCAGCCAAGUCGCGUGAGGGAUGAAGGUUCUAUGGAUCGUAAACCUCUUUUAUAAGGGAAUAAAGUGCGGGACGUGUCCCGUUUUGUAUGUACCUUAUGAAUAAGGAUCGGCUAACUCCGUGCCAGCAGCCGCGGUAAGACGGAGGAUCCGAGAGUUAUCCGGAUUUAUUGGGUUUAAAGGGUGCGUAGGCGGCCUUUUAAGUCAGCUGGGAAAGUCUGUGGCUCAACCAUAGAAUUGCCGUUGAAACUGGGAGGCUUGAGUAUGUUUGAGGCAGGCGGAAUGCGUGGUGUAGCGGUGAAAUGCUUAGAUAUCACGCAGAACCCCGAUUGCGAAGGCAGCCUGCCAAGCCAUGACUGACGCUGAUGCACGAAAGCGUGGGGAUCAAACAGGAUUAGAUACCCUAGUAGUC
rnacentral:rRNA from 1 species